AUUGAACGCUGGCGGCAUGCCUUACACAUGCAAGUCGAACGGUAACAGGUCUUCGGAUGCUGACGAGUGGCGAACGGGUGAGUAAUACAUCGGAACGUGCCCGAGAGUGGGGGAUAACGAGGCGAAAGCUUUGCUAAUACCGCAUACGAUCUCAGGAUGAAAGCAGGGGACCGCAAGGCCUUGCGCUCACGGAGCGGCCGAUGGCAGAUUAGGUAGUUGGUGGGAUAAAAGCUUACCAAGCCGACGAUCUGUAGCUGGUCUGAGAGGACGACCAGCAACACUGGGACUGAGACACGGCCCAGACUCCUACGGGAGGAAGCAGUGGGGAAUUUUGGACAAUGGGCGCAAGCCUGAUCCAGCCAUGCCGCGUGCAGGAUGAAGGCCUUCGGGUUGUAAACUGCUUUUGUACGGAACGAAAAGACUCCUUCUAAUAAAGGGGGUCCAUGACGGUACCGUAAGAAUAAGCACCGGCUAACUACGUGCCAGCCGCCGCCGUAACAC
rnacentral:rRNA from 1 species